UACGUAGGGUGCGAGCGUUAAUCGGAAUUACUGGGCGUAAAGCGUGCGCAGGCGGUUCGUUAAGUCAGCUGUGAAAGCCCCGGGCUCAACCUGGGAAUUGCGGUUGAAACUGGCGGACUAGAAUCUGGCAGAGGGGGGUGGAAUUCCACGUGUAGCAGUGAAAUGCGUAGAGAUCGGGAGGAACACCCGUAGCGAAGGCGGCCGACUGGACCACACCUGACGCUGAGGCGCGAAGGCCAGGGGAGCGAACGGG
rnacentral:rRNA from 1 species